GCUGGUCUGGACAUUGUAACGACCGUGGAACGUGUGUCCCAACAUCAACCAAUACAGACUAUACGUGUAACAAUUGCGCUUUAGGGUGGAAAGGAAAAAGUUGCCAUCUCGUUGAUUGCAGCAGUGGAUCGUAUUGCACAAAUGGCGGCGUUUGUGUGGAAAACGGAACGGACUACACGUGUACAUGCAAGAAUGGGUGGACAGGAAAGAACUGUGAACUCGUCGUCUGUACCUGGUCCGGACAUUGUAACGACCGUGGAACAUGUGUUCCAACAUCAAC